rnacentral:tRNA from 1 species
UCUUCCGUAGUAUAGUGGUCAGUAUGCAAGCUUGUCACGCUUGAGACCCGGGUUCAAUUACCGGCGGGAGAG